AUUAAUUUUCAAAAACUGACAAGGCGGAACGCGCGCUUAUUUCCUGGAAAAGAAAGGAUGACUCUCAUUGGUGAGAGAGACAUCACAGAUCAAAAUUCGUGAUGACGUCAUGGCAGACCUUCGAUUGCAGCGAAAAGAACGAAACAGCCACCUGCAAAAACACGUGCUGUACAACUACAGAAGCGAUUAGACUAGACGAGGAACUGAAAGCGCGGAAAAUCCAACUUGUCAGGCAGCAUUGUUUGAUAAAGAAAAGGAACGCUGUCUGGUAAUCACGGGAUAUAGAACUUCGCCUACGCAUUUAAGGCUAACCGGAUAUGACGACAUUAUAACCGACAGACGCAGUAUUCUGAUGUGAACACUUUCAAUUCAUUAGUUCAAUAAGGGGUUUUGGAGAGCAUUAUCAUUUCAAUAAAAAUUUCUUUCGCGAUGCAGCAAGACGGUAUUAAAACGGAAUCGACAAAGUCUAGUAUGAUUUUGAUUCCGAUAGCAUAUUCCGAAUCCGUUAAUCUACGCAAAGAUGGACCGAGAUCGACCACCUCAUAUACGAGCACGUGCAAAGUGGAAGGCGGGAAAUCUUUCUGCACUUCGGUAUAUAUAAUCACGAAAUUGAUUCCUACUCGCUUCAUCACCUAUUUAACUGUUGAAGAAAAGUGGGAAAAGUCAUCUCCGCUGUACACUUAUUCCUCGGAUGAAGUAAAUGAUGUUAAAUUAUUUACCGCUGCUGCAUCGUUAGAACCGAAACCUAUUCUUGAUGAUAAUACCGUUGAUCUUAGUGUUGAAGAGAUUUCCACACAUUAUGAAGCCAUUGAAUUCAAACAUAAAUUUACGAUGACUCUUUUUUCGGAAACCGUGAAUAUUUUUCCGAAAGAGAAGAUUCAUACGUACUGCUCGAUAUAUAUAUACGAACCUCGCGCGCAAAGUUAUUUCGUAACUGGAGUAGCACUUAUACCUGGUCAGAAAAUCUUACCAAUUGCAGAAGAUGAAUAUCCAGUUGAUGUUAAAUCAUUAAAUAGCAGUGCUGUGGAAAAUUGUUAUAAUCAAGAAACCAAUAGUGACUGUGAAAGUCCAAAAUUAAUAAAUGGUGUUAUCUAAGAACUUUUCCAUCUAUUAUUGUAACUUUAGCUGUAUUCUUGAAGAUUUACUCUAGUUUUUACUAUAUCAUUUUAUGAAAACAAAGACAACAAGAUGUUUCUGGUGAGAAAAAUAAUUCUGAAUUCAAAGGUAACCAUAAUAGUGAAUUUUUUCAUAUGUGUUUUAAGAACAAAUUUUGAAUUAUAAGUAUUACAUUUGUAUGCCAGAAAUGUUAUUUUGCAUUUUAAAUAAUCUGCCAUGUAUUUAUGUUUAUAAAGAGCUUUUAAAGCAAUUUCCUAACUGAAUAUUGUUGUAAGUGUGAAUAUAUUCAAUUUAUUAGUCAUAUUUAUGGGAAAUAAGAAAUUUUAUUAUAGUAUAAUAGGUUUGCAUUGUAAUUUGGUUGAUUAAAAAAUUUUAGAUAAUUUCUAAAAAAAUUGUGGAACAAUAAUGUAAAGAAAGUACAUUAUAAUGUAAUAAUGAACAAUAAUGUAAUAAUGUAAAUCUAAUAAUGAACAAUAAUGUAAUCUAGAUGCCUAAUAAAUCUGCAUCUACAAUUUCUAAUUUUUUUAAUCAAGUAAUAACUUUUAAUAAUCUUGUAACUGAUAUUUGAAUUUUUCAAACAUUCAAUAUAUUUUAGAUCUGGAAUCUUAUCUGAAAACAUUUAAGGGCAGUCUAUGAAAUCCCAAACCAAGUUCAUGUUUCUUUAUGUCAUUUAGCAUUAACUGUUUCACAUUUUAAUUAAAAACCUGUACUAAUUAAAUAAAAAUAUUAAAUAUACAAAAUUUUAUUAGUUCAUAUAAGCACUUUUAUGCAGAUUUAAUAAAUAUAUUAUUUAAUGAAACAGCAAGUUCAACCACUAAUUCUACUUUACUAUUUUCAUAACCUAUUGAAUAGUAUCUUGUGGGUUAGUUAAAUAAUUAACUGAUCUUUGCAAUAUUUAAUUAAACAUAAAAGUAAUAUAAAGCUUUUUACCUAGUCCACAUAUUUUUGUAGUGUUUAAUUAAACCAAGUGGUAAAAUCCUAGUAUAUGGUACGCCUUGGCAGGAUUAUGAAAACUGUCGCCAAUACCAAAAUGACUCAUUUACAGCUCAUCCUAAACACCAUGUUUACUGCUCAUCAUAAUGUUGCCAAAUCCUGUAUAUACCGUAUACUAGGAUUAAACUCGCAACACUAUACAAAUUGCAUUUAGUAUUUUUUGAUUGUUUCGGUUUUCAUGAAGUUAAUGCUUCUAAGGGCACUUGAGGUAAACUAAUAGCAGACAGAAUAGUAGGUGCGGAGGGGGUGUGACCAAUUGUCACAUGGUCCAAAUCCAGUUAGGAACUUUAUUUCUCAGCAGUUUGAUUAGCUUUGUACAUAAUAGACAAAGAAAAUGUAAAUGGCAACCAUCUUAGCCAAAUUUGACAUCGCUUGAAUCAAUUGGUUAUUAGUUGCAUUCAGUGUACCUACGUAUGAGUUAAGUUGUCGAAACUUUCACAUGAAUACGAAUGUUUGUAUUCAUUUUGUAAAUUUGAUUAAAUUGGUGAAAUCCUAGUAUAUUGUAUGGCCUUGGUGUGAUUUUAAAAAUUGUCGUCAACAUCAAAAUGACUUGUUUGCUACUCAUCAUAAAUGCCGCGUUUACUGCUCUUCAUAAUGUCGCCAAAUCCCAUGGGUACCGUAUACUAGGAUUAAAUCAAGUAAUGGAUAGCUUCCUACUGUUCACAGUUCUAAGAAUGAAUCAUAGAAACUUUUUGAAAAUUUGUAAAUAACUUAUUAAAAAAAUAAUUCUUCAACAAGUUUCAGAGGAAACGUUUUCUUUCUAUAAAUAAAAGAAAGUUCUAUUUCAAUUUUAGUUGUGAAACUUCUUCAGAAAAUGAAUCAGUAGUAUUAACAUUUGGAAUUGAAACUUCAAACUCAUGCUACGUUCAUAUAAAUUUAUACCAAAAUAAGAGUAACUAAAUUUUCUUUUACCAAUACUCUUCGAUUUUGGUUAUGAAUUUAAAAAUAAAUAGUUACACAGUCUCUCAUAAGUGAAACAGUAUGAACGUCAUAAAGGCAGUGAUGCCACGAUAUAAAAUAUAUAUGUACAAAAUAAUGAAUAAAAAAAUUAACAUUACUACUUAUUAUUCUCUGUUUUUUCUGGGCAAAUUUCUGUUACUGUUAUUAAUUAUUCUGCAUGAUUUCUAUGCAAAAUAAAGAGCUUUUGAUGAGUAA